rnacentral:rRNA from 1 species
AGCGAACGCUGGCGGCAGGCCUAACACAUGCAAGUCGAACGAAGUCUUCGGACUUAGUGGCGGACGGGUGAGUAACACGUGGGAACGUGCCUUUAGGUUCGGAAUAACUCAGGGAAACUUGUGCUAAUACCGAAUGUGCCCUUCGGGGGAAAGAUUUAUCGCCUUUAGAGCGGCCCGCGUCUGAUUAGCUAGUUGGUGAGGUAAAGGCUCACCAAGGCUACGAUCAGUAGCUGGUCUGAGAGGAUGACCAGCCACAUUGGGACUGAGACACGGCCCAAACUCCUACGGGAGGCAGCAGUGGGGAAUCUUGCGCAAUGGGCGAAAGCCCGACGCAGCCAUGCCGCGUGGAUGAUGAAGGUCUUAGGAUUGUAAAAUCCUUUCACCGGUGAAGAUAAUGACUGUAGCCGGAGAAGGAGCCCCGGCUAACUUCGUGCCAGCCGCCGCCGUAAGAC